UACGUAGGGUGCAAGCGUUAAUCGGAAUUACUGGGCGUAAAGCGUGCGCAGGCGGUUAUGUAAGACAGUUGUGAAAUCCCCGGGCUCAACCUGGGAACUGCAUCUGUGACUGCAUAGCUAGAGAACGGUAGAGGGGGAUGGAAUUCCGCGUGUAGCAGUGAAAUGCGUAGAUAUGCGGAGGAACACCGAUGGCGAAGGCAAUCCCCUGGACCUGUACUGACGCUCAUGCACGAAAGCGUGGGGAGCAAACAGG
rnacentral:rRNA from 1 species